CUACGGGGUGCUCCAGUGGGGAAUCUUGCGCAAUGGGCGAAAGCCUGACGCAGCAACGCCGCGUGCGGGAAGAAGGCUUUCGGGCUGUAAACCGCUUUCAGUAGGAACGAAACUGACGGUACCUACAGAAGAAGGAGCGGCCAACUAUGUGCCAGCAGCCGCGGUGACACAUAGGCUCCAAGCGUUGUCCGGAUUUAUUGGGCGUAAAGAGCUCGUAGGCGGUCGAGUAAGUCGGGUGUGAAAACUCUGGGCUUAACCCAGAGAUGCCACUCGAUACUGCUGUGACUUGAGUUCGGUAGGGGAGCGGGGAAUUCCUUGUGUAGCGGUGAAAUGCGCAGAUAUGAGGAGGAACACCGGUGGCGAAGGCGCCGCUCUGGGCAGUAACUGACGCUGAGGAGCGAAAGCGUGGGUAGCAAACAGGAUUAGAUACCCUCGUAGUC
rnacentral:rRNA from 1 species